rnacentral:rRNA from 1 species
UGGGGAAUAUUGCACAAUGGGCGAAAGCCUGAUGCAGCAAUGCCGCGUGUGUGAAGAAGGCCUGCGGGUUGUAAAGCACUUUCGGUAGGGAAGAUAAUGACGGUACCUACAGAAGAAGCACCGGCUAACUCCGUGCCAGCAGCCGCGGUAAUACGUAGGGUGCGAGCGUUAAUCGGAAUUACUGGGCGUAAAGGGUGCGCAGGCGGCCCCGCAUGUCAGGCGUGAAAUCCCCGGGCUUAACCUGGGAAUGGCGCUUGAAACUACGGGGCUGGAGUAUGGCAGAGGGAGGUGGAAUUCCACGUGUAGCGGUGAAAUGCGUAGAGAUGUGGAGGAACACCGAUGGCGAAGGCAGCCUCCUGGGCCAAUACUGACGCUGAGGCGCGAAAGCGUGGGGAGCAGACAGGAUUAGAUACCCCAGUAGUCCCUGAGCGGGCUGGCAAGGCGCAU